CCAGCUCUACCACUUCAUCAGCACAACUGUCUCGGGUCUGCCUCUCAGCCAGCAGGCCCGGCGCCGCCCACUUCCUGCGACCAAAUAAGGCCGAAGAAGGCGUCUUUAAACCUCCGGCGGCUGCCCAGGCUGGGGAUUUCCAGCAGACCUCACCUCCACUCCCAAGUCAGUCGCCACCCUCCCCCAGUCCAGGCCGGCGCCCCCGAUGGCUUUGCUGGAACCAUCAGGCCACGCGGCUCUUUCCUUUCACACCAAGGUCAGGACGAGACGGUGACGAAAUGUUUGGAAACCCAGCGGGCCUGCCAGGAAAGUAUGUGUGUGAUGUUGGGGAGGACACAAGUCGCUUUCUUCCACAAAGAAAACUCUCUCGUUUUGGAUACGGAGAUGGGUCAGAAGGAGAUUCUUCUUUGAAGGAGAAACCACUGAAGAAUACACUGUGUCCUGGCAGCUGCUUUUCCCCUGUGGCCAGUCCUGAGAAGCAGGUGCAUCCCUUGCUUUCUCAGGGGGAAGGGGAGGGGCAGCAGAGUGUGAUUCUCAUGCUCCCUCUGAACCUGCAGGGCAAGGACCUUCCCCACCAUGCCCCUCCCCCUACCCCCAGUGGAUGACAGAGAUGACACUGGUACCUUCUGCCUAGAAACCUUCAGAACCCCACACUUGCUUCUAAGGGGCAUGACCUUCCUGUCCUCUUCCAUCCCUUCACUGGCGGGAGCACCUGUGUGCAUCUGGAGCUCACACCUUACCCAGGAGGAAAAGGGUUUAUCUGCACCAUGAAUAAAGGUACUACCUCUAGGACCUCAUUACCUACAGUUAAAACAGAAGAAAGACAAGGUUGUAGAAAGA